ensembl:miRNA microRNA 30b
UAAUAUUCCAGUGUAGUCGUUGUAAACAUCCUACACUCAGCUGUAAUCUGCACAUGAGGCUGGGAGGAGGGUGUUUGCUGUGACUGACUGGAGCUCCUC